GUGAGGAAUUUUCCGCAAUGGGCGAAAGCCUGACGGAGCAAUGCCGCGUGAAGGAUGAUGGCCUAUGGGUUGUAAACUUCUUUUCUCAGAAAAGAAUUAUGACGGUAUCUGAGGAAUAAGCAUCGGCUAACUCUGUGCCAGCAGCCGCGGUAAGACAGAGGAUGCAAGCGUUAUCCGGAAUGAUUGGGCGUAAAGCGUCUGUAGGUUGUUUAAAAAGUAUUCUGUCAAAGAUUAGGGCUUAACCCUAGAUAGGCAGAAUAAACUUUUAAGCUAGAGUUUGGUAGAGGCAGAGGGAAUUCCCGGUGGAGCGGUGAAAUGCGUAGAUAUCGGGAGGAACACCAAAGGCGAAGGCACUCUGCUGGGCCAAUACUAACACUGAGAGACGAAAGCGAGGGGAGCAAAUGGGAUUAGAUACCCCGGUAGUCC
rnacentral:rRNA from 1 species